GGGGAAUUUUGGACAAUGGGCGAAAGCCUGAUCCAGCAAUGCCGCGUGAGUGAAGAAGGCCUUCGGGUUGUAAAGCUCUUUUGUCAGGGAAGAAACGGUGAGAGCUAAUAUCUCUUGCUAAUGACGGUACCUGAAGAAUAAGCACCGGCUAACUACGUGCCAGCAGCCGCGGUAAUACGUAGGGUGCAAGCGUUAAUCGGAAUUACUGGGCGUAAAGCGUGCGCAGGCGGUUUUGUAAGUCUGAUGUGAAAUCCCCGGGCUCAACCUGGGAAUUGCAUUGGAGACUGCAAGGCUAGAAUCUGGCAGAGGGGGGUAGAAUUCCACGUGUAGCAGUGAAAUGCGUAGAUAUGUGGAGGAACACCGAUGGCGAAGGCAGCCCCCUGGGUCAAGAUUGACGCUCAUGCACGAAAGCGUGGGGAGCAAACAGG
rnacentral:rRNA from 1 species